AGGAUCUAGCAAUAGAUUGCUGACGACCGGCGCACGGGUGAGUAACACGUAUCCAACCUGCCGAUAACUCGGGGAUAGCCUUUCGAAAGAAAGAUUAAUACCCGAUGGUAUAAUAAAACCGCAUGGUUUUUUUAUUAAAGAAUUUCGGUUAUCGAUGGGGAUGCGUUCCAUUAGGCAGUUGGUGAGGUAACGGCUCACCAAACCUUCGAUGGAUAGGGGUUCUGAGAGGAAGGUCCCCCACAUUGGAACUGAGACACGGUCCAAACUCCUACGGGAGGCAGCAGUGAGGAAUAUUGGUCAAUGGACGAGAGUCUGAACCAGCCAGGUAGCGUGAAGGAUGACUGCCCCUAUGGGUUGUAAACUUCUUUUAUAUGGGAAUAAAGUUUUCCACGUGUGGAAUUUUGUAUGUACCAUAUGAAUAAGGAUCGGCUAACUCCGUGCCAGCAGCCGCGGUAAUACGGAGGAUCCGAGCGUUAUCCGGAUUUAUUGGGUUUAAAGGGAGCGUAGGUGGACAGUUAAGUCAGUUGUGAAAGUUUGCGGCUCAACCGUAAAAUUGCAGUUGAUACUGGCUGUCUUGAGUACAGUAGAGGUGGGCGGAAUUCGUGGUGUAGCGGUGAAAUGCUUA
rnacentral:rRNA from 1 species